UACGAAGGGUGCGAGCGUUAAUCGGAAUUACUGGGCGUAAAGCGUGCGCAGGCGGUUAUAUAAGACAGAUGUGAAAUCCCCGGGCUCAACCUGGGAACUGCAUUUGUGACUGUAUAGCUAGAGUACGGCAGAGGGGGAUGGAAUUCCGCGUGUAGCAGUGAAAUGCGUAGAUAUGCGGAGGAACACCGAUGGCGAAGGCAAUCCCCUGGGCCUGUACUGACGCUCAUGCACGAAAGCGUGGGGAGCAAACAGG
rnacentral:rRNA from 1 species